CUUAACACAUGCAAGUCGAGGGGCAGCGGGGUAGCAAUACCCGCCGGCGACCGGCGCACGGGUGAGUAACGCGUAUGCAACCUGCCCGAUACCGGGGUAUAGCCCAUGGAAACGUGGAUUAACACCCCAUAGUACUUUUAUCCUGCCUGGGAUGGGAGUUAAAUGUUCAAGGUAUCGGAUGGGCAUGCGUCCUAUUAGUUAGUUGGCGGGGUAACAGCCCACCAAGACGAUGAUAGGUAGGGGUUCUGAGAGGAAGGUCCCCACAUUGGAACUGAGACACGGUCCAAACUCC
rnacentral:rRNA from 1 species